AGGCAGCAGUGGGGAAUAUUGGACAAUGGGCGGAAGCCUGAUCCAGCCAUGCCGCGUGUGUGAUGACGGCCUUAGGGUUGUAAAGCACUUUCGCCGAUGAAGAUAGUGACUGUAGUCGGAGAAGAAGCCCCGGCUAACUUCGUGCCAGCAGCCGCGGUAAUACGAAGGGGGCUAGCGUUGUUCGGAAUUACUGGGCGUAAAGCGUACGUAGGCGGAUCGUUAAGUUAGGGGUGAGAUCCCGAGGCCCAACCUCGGAACUGCCUCUGAUACUGGCGAUCUUGAGUCCGGGAGAGGUGAGUGGAACUCCUAGUGUAGAGGUGAAGUUCGUAGAUAUUAGGAAGAACACCAGUGGCGAAGGCGGCUCACUGGCCCGGAACUGACGCUGAGGUACGAAAGCGUGGGGAGCAAACAGGAUUAGAUACCCUGGUAGUCCACGCCGUAAACGAUG
rnacentral:rRNA from 1 species